AGCAUGGAGGGUUUGAUCCUGGCUCAGCGCGAACGCUGGCGGCGUGCCUAACACAUGCAAG
rnacentral:rRNA from 1 species